GACAGAGGGUGCAAACGUUGUUCGGAUUUACUGGGCGUAAAGCGCACGUAGGCGGAUCGUUAAGUCAGGGGUGAAAUCCUGGAGCUCAACUCCAGAACUGCCUUUGAUACUGGCGAUCUCGAGUCCGGAAGAGGUGAGUGGAACUCCUAGUGUAGAGGUGGAAUUCGUAGAUAUUAGGAAGAACACCAGUGGCGAAGGCGGCUCACUGGUCCGGAACUGACGCUGAGGUGCGAAAGCGUGGGGAGCAAACAGG
rnacentral:rRNA from 1 species